rnacentral:misc_RNA from 1 species
UUGGGAAAGCAAGUUAUUUCAGGAAUGUUCAAGUUGUUGAUGAUUCCAAUAACCUCAAGGCUCCUAAAGGGAUUGGCACCUUCACUGAGCAAUCUAAUUGCUAUGAUGUUCAAACUGGUAGCAAUGGGGAUUGGGGCCAUUACUUUUAUUAUGGGGGCCCUGGUAGAAACUCCAAUUGCCCUUGAAGAGGAAAAUAUAUUUCAGCUCAUCUGCCCAUAUAUAUUAAUUCUCUCCCUCUGUAUCAUUCAACCUGGUAAUGCAUCUCUUUUGUACACCCUUUUUUUACUGUUAGGCUGGGUUAGUGAUGUGACCUCUUCUAGUGGGAAGUUUUGACUCUAUUUUUUUUUUUUUUUAACUAAAAUAUUCUCCAUGUAAGAGUGGUUGGGAAUAG